CCAUACUUAAACAACACAUUGUCCUCAAUAUAGCACAAUUAAAAGAUUAAAAUCAAGUAAACCAUCAAAUAGAAUCGGACAAAUGUAAUAAAAGUAAAGAAGGAGAUAGGAAAAGAAAAAACUCCCUAAGUCAUGGUGGAAAAGAAGUAAGCUGAAGUAAGGAGAUCUUUUGAGCAAGGACAACCCCCAAUGUGUAAUUGGAUGCAUCGCACAUUAGCUCAAAUGGGG
rnacentral:lncRNA from 1 species